GGUUCCAUAGUGUAGAGGUUAUCAUGUCUGCUUUAUGUGCAGAAGGUCCUGGGCUCGAAACCCAGUGGAGCCA
rnacentral:tRNA from 1 species